rnacentral:rRNA from 1 species
AUGCUGUAUCUGAAUGUCGAGGGAGUUACCAUGUGGCGCUGUUUUUCUGAAUGGUUUUUGGGUGAGCGUGCAUGUUAUCCCUGUAACACCGGAAGCCCAGGCAGCAAGGCAUGUUCUACUGUUCUGAAGGAUUCAAGAUUUGACAGGGUUAUCUUAGCUUCAGACUGUCUUUAUUUGGCUAACAAGCUGAACUCUUCCUUGCUGGACAGAACGUCUGCUGGAUACAUGAUGCCGGCGUUGUGUGGGUUGACGAGGCCCUGGAACCGUUCCGUCCUCUCGGUUGUACUGAACAAGUUUUUUUUAAGAUGGAUAAACAAGUUUGGCAAAACGGUGACUCUUUAG